rnacentral:rRNA from 1 species
AGAGUUUGAUCAUGGCUCAGGACGAACGCUGGCGGCGUGCUUAACACAUGCAAGUCGAACGGAGACCAUGCAGUAGCAAUACUGCGGAAGUCUGAGUGGCGAACGGGUGAGUAACACGUGAGGAACCUGUCCUGGUCUCUGGGAUAACAGUCGGAAACAACUGCUAAUACCGGAUGCCGUCGGAGCGUCGCAUGGCGCGCUGACGAAAGGGUUACCGGAUCAGGAGGGUCUCGCGGCCUAUCAGCUAGUUGGUGGGGUAACGGCCUACCAAGGCAUCGACGGGUAGCUGGUCUGAGAGGAUGAUCAGCCACACUGGGACUGAGACACGGCCCAGACUCCUACGGGAGGCAGCAGUGGGGAAUCUUGCGCAAUGGGCGAAAGCCUGACGCAGCAACGCCGCGUGCGGGAAGAAGGCCUUCGGGUUGUAAACCGCUUUCAGAAGGAACGAAACUGACGGUACUUUCAGAAGAAGGUGCGGCCAACUACGUGCCAGCAGCCGCGGUGACACGUAGGCACCAAGCGUUGUCCGGAUUUAUUGGGCGUAAAGAGCUCGUAGGCGGUUCGGUAAGUCGGGUGUGAAAACUUUGGGCUCAACCCAAGGCGUGCACUCGAUACUGCCGUGACUGGAGUUCGGUAGGGGAGCGGGGAAUUCCUAGUGUAGCGGUGAAAUGCGCAGAUAUUAGGAGGAACACCGGUGGCGAAGGCGCCGCUCUGGGCCGAUACUGACGCUGAGGAGCGAAAGCGUGGGUAGCAAACAGGAUUAGAUACCCUGGUAGUCCACGCCGUAAACGUUGGGCACUAGGUGUGGGUCUCAACCAACGAGAUCCGCGCCGUCGCUAACGCAUUAAGUGCCCCGCCUGGGGAGUACGGCCGCAAGGUUAAAACUCAAAGGAAUUGACGGGGCCCGCACAAGCAGCGGAGCGUGUUGCUUAAUUCGA